rnacentral:rRNA from 1 species
AUUGAACGCUGGCGGCAGGCUUAACACAUGCAAGUCGAGCGGAGAGAAGUAGUUUGCUACUGAUCUUAGCGGCGGACGGGUGAGUAAUGCUUAGGAAUCUGCCUAUUAGUGGGGGACAACAUUUCGAAAGGAAUGCUAAUACCGCAUACGUCCUACGGGAGAAAGCAGGGGAUCUUCGGACCGUGAGCUUAUAGAUGAGCCUAAGGCGGGUUAGCUAGUUGGUGGGGUAAAGGCCUACCAAGGCGACGAUCUGUAGCGGGUCUGAGAGGAUGAUCCGCCACACUGGGACUGAGACACGGCCCAGACUCCUACGGGAGGCAGCAGUGGGGAAUAUUGGACAAUGGGCGGAAGCCUGAUCCAGCCAUGCCGCGUGUGUGAAGAAGGCCUUAUGGUUGUAAAGCACUUUAAGCGAGGAGGAGGCUACUUUAGUUAAUACCUAGAGAUAGUGGACGUUACUCGCAGAAUAAGCACCGGCUAACUCUGUGCCAGCCGCCGCGGUAAGAC